GUUUUGCGUUAGGGAUAGUAGUGGUAUCCUUUUUUACUUUUUUGUAAAAAAGAUGUAACGGAUAGCCCGCCCUUUU
rnacentral:sRNA from 1 species